UACGGAGGGCGCAAGCGUUAUCCGGAAUUAUUGGGCGUAAAGAGCUCGUAGGCGGUUUGUCGCGUCUGCCGUGAAAAUCCGGGGCUCAACCCCGGACUUGCAGUGGGUACGGGCAGGCUAGAGUGUGGUAGGGGAGACUGGAAUUCCUGGUGUAGCGGUGAAAUGCGCAGAUAUCAGGAGGAACACCGGUGGCGAAGGCGGAUCUCUGGGCCGUAACUGACGCUGAGGAGCGAAAGCAUGGGGAGCGAACAGG
rnacentral:rRNA from 1 species